GAUGAACGCUGGCGGCGUGCCUAAUACAUGCAAGUCGAACGAACAGACGAGGAGCUUGCUCCUCGGACGUUAGCGGCGGACGGGUGAGUAACACGUGGAUAACCUACCUAUAAGACUGGGAUCACUUCGGGACACCGGAGCUAAUACCGGAUGAUAUAUUGAACCGCAUGGGUCAAUGGUGAAAGACGGUGUUGCGGGCACGUAUAGAUGGAUCCGUGCCGCAUUAGCUGGUUGGUAAGGUAACGGCUUACCAAGGCAACGAUGCGUAGCCGAACUGAGAGGGUGGUCGCCCACCUGGGAACGGGGACACGGUCCAGACUCCUACGGGAGGGAGCAGUCGGGAAUGUGCCGCAACGGGCGAAAGUCUGACGGAGCAACGCGGCGCGAGUGAUGACGGUCUUGGGAGCGUAAUACUCUGUUAUGAGGGAAGAACAGCUGUGUAAGUUACUGUGCACGUCGUGACGGUACUUAAUCAGAAAGCCCCGGCUAACUACGUG
rnacentral:rRNA from 1 species